rnacentral:lncRNA from 1 species
CGUUGGAGGGCUUCUACUUUGAAGUCUUAUGGAGGUAUCAAAAUUAUCAGUUCAUGAUUUUCAUGAUGGUAUAUGACUUCUGAUCUUCUCUUGUUUUGCAUGCUUUUGAUAUUUGAUUGUAAUCAUCAAGGGAUUCCUAGGAUUUUUGUGUUUCCGUAGACUAGUUUAAAUGUUAAACUUUAUUUUUAAUAGUUGAAUGCAUAUAAAAUUUUUUUGAAAUUUAUAUCC